UGCUUUUGUGGAGCUGGAGUUCAUCGGAAGUUCUACAGUGCUUGCGCCAGAAAAACGUCGGUGCCUCGGUACCUUUGAGACGAAGGAGCGUUGGCCAAGUCUUUUUGAAAGGCUAUGCGGAUUCUGGAGGCAUCCCUACAUCAAGCAGGAACCUGCUGCACUGCUGGAAGCUGGACAGCACGACAAUAAAGCACGUGAUCUGUGUGCUUUCUCAAAGGUAGACAUCGGCGACGGUGUAUAUGUUGAAAAGUGCCUGCUGAAGAGGCUGCGCCUGGAUGCUAACAACUCAGGCUUUCAGUUCGCGGGGGGCC